GUGAAGAGACAAUGACUGGUUACAGAUCGUCCACAGAAGGUCGGGAACCCGUCCAACACAAAGACCUGUGGGGGAUGACUUAAGAAAGCUCAGUCGUGACCACACGGGGAUGGCUGCAAAUGUUUUCUCAAUAAAACAGAAAUACAGACGGCAGAACUGGAGGGAAGAUGGGACGGGAGACUUGGCAGGCAUUCCGAUAAAGUCAGCCCUGACAGCUGGAGGAGUCAUAAAAGCCUGGACUCCUCUGUAGAGUCUAGGACACCAGACUUGAGAAGCUGGAACAAGUGUGGUCCUGUGAUUUCUCUGGAAACAGCUGGGACCAAUCUGUCCCAUUUGAAACCCUCACUCCGCUGCUCACAAGUCAUGGGACCUCGGGCAAGUUUCUUCACCUUCCUGACAGUUUUCUCUACUAACAAAGUCAUGGAAUCGCACGUGGACAUUAAGGAGGGCAGUGUGUGUGGGAUGCUCAGUGCAAGGGAUGGUCUACAGUGAGCAUCCAGCAAAGAGCUCUGAGCACGUCUGGAGCAGAUCCUAAUUUGCAAGGCUGGCAAAGGAACAGAGGUCUCUCCUGCCUACUGCCAGCCCCACCCACAGGAUCUCACUGGAGAGCUCCCUGCAGCUGCUCAGGGCAUUUACACCCUCUCAUCCCCGGCAGCAAGAGGAAAACCAUUAGGAAGCCAACAGUAUAAAAGGGGAAAGAUGAGUGGCUGGAGGAAAGGUGGGAACUGAUAGAGUCAAGCGCCUGUCUUCUCACAGGGUUGGUACACUUGGGGUGGAACCAGGAAGACAGGACCAGAGGUGAUCCUGGUUCACAUAUCCUUGGGACAUUGCAAUUUAGGGAGAAGUGCCUAUGAGCUGGUAACAGAAGGUUUGGUUUGCUUUUGUUAAGUUCAAUUUGUUUCCAAUUCUUUUUAUCUUGGCUCUAUCUCAGGCAUCACAGACGCCAGAGCUUUGCAGGCACAGGGUGGGGUAGGGUGGGGCGGGGUUGGGCAAUUCUUUCUUUUUGCUUAAAGGGACAGAACUAGGGAUGCCUCUUUGAAUGCCUGUGGCUUGCUCAAAUACCAUUAGUAAAUUAGUAAAGACGCUGAGCAGGGAAGGGUUCGUUCUCUUUGAAAGUGGCUUUCACAGAGGUGGCCACCAACAAAUCUAAGGACAGAAAGGAAGUUUGCAGAGAGAAAUUUGGACCUGUAAGAUGGUACUGACAUUAUUAUUUCAGCUAGCCAGAGCUAACCUUGAACUUCUAGACUUGCUAAGCUGAGUAUGAAGAAAUAAAUCCUGUUCGUUGGUUGUGGUGGAUGUUUUUAAUCCCAGCAUUCAGAGGCCGAGGCAGGCUGUUCUCUGCAAGUUCCAGGACAACCUUCGUCUACAGUAUGAGUUCUAGGACAGCCAGACCUAUACAAAGAAACCCUGCCUUGAAAACCAAUAAUAAAUAAAUAAUAUAAUAUAAAAGAGUGGAUCCCUUUAAAAACGGUCAUUGGUGUACAUGUGAAGCUCUUAGGAUCUCUCAAAUUUUGCCUGGAAAAAUAUUCUAUUGACUAUAGGGGCUGUCCAGGUUUGGGAGUCAAACACGCCCGGCUGGAGUCUCAGCUCCAUCAUCUACAGACUUGUGACUUUGGUCAACAUCUGCACCUUCCUGCGCCUCAGUUUCCCAUCUAUACUGUGAGCAUAGCCUCUGUCUCCCCAAGAGUUCCUUCAGCUGCUCCGGCAUCUCAACAGACGCUUCUGGUUUGUUCUUCCCCUCCCUACAACAGAGGACAUGUGCUUCAGCCAGCAGGGAACAAAGGAAAAAGUCCAGCCCUUCCUUGCAGCUUUGUGUGGAACAGGAGAUAGCUUCAAACACACAGGGCCCAGACAACUUAUGGCUCUUUCUCGUGUUUAUUUUUUUAAACAAAUCUUUCCAUAGCACUCACUGUGUAAUAAACACCUCCUGAGCACUGGACAAA